rnacentral:lncRNA from 1 species
CUACUAUUCUAUCUCCUUCUGCCCACCUUCUUCCCCCCUCCCUUCAUUAUCAUCAGGGAAUCACAGGCUUUGCCUUACCAACUGUCUGCACACUGUAUUUAAGAAAUAUCUCUAUUCCGGGCUCAGAUUUGGAUGGACUGUUUAAAAUGACUCAUAAAUGAACUCCUUUUCUUGUUUGGAAAUUGUCAGUGAACAGUCUAGUCUCCCUCUAUUUUUGUCUCUUUUUUAAUAGCCGCCUGGUGACUAUAUUUCAUUUUCGGGGUUUCUUGUUAACUGUUCUGAAAAACAGAAUCUGGCUUCUCUUUGUAAACCGUGUUUAUGAGAUGCCAUGACAUGGGACAGCUGUCCCUCAUUGCCUGCAUGACUCAGGUGGUUGUGGGCAGACACCUCUGAACAAUCUAUCGUUCUGCAGCUUCAUGAAACUUAAUUGGGGCUGCGAAAUUAUCACACUCACCCCAAGUAGAAACUGCAGCUUUCCACAAUACUAGCUGAUGAAAUAAGCAAUCCCUCCUUCCCUUCAGUUCUGGCAGCAGUGACUCAUUUCAGUUAAGUCACUUUGACUUACCUUGUUUCUACAGUGGCAGAAUCAAGGCACUCUAAGAAAUGUUAGUACAUGAGUUACAUCUGUAGUGGAACAGAGUUUUUAUGCCUGAAGUCUAUCAACAAAUUAUUUGCAGAACUGCACCUCAUUGCAAAACCUGCUUGGAGACCUGAAGCCCUUCAGACCAGUGGCACUGUGAGCAAACUCUUCACUGGUGGUUCUCAUUUGGCAGACGACUGAAUUUAGUAGUCAGAAAAGUGAGAAGAAGGGUGGGUUUUUGAAUAGUCUUUAAAGGCCUUGGUGAGUUAAAAUCAGCACCUUCAGUUACAUCCAAAAUGAGCAUGGCAUCCCGCUUAUCUUGGUAAGCAUAUUUUUUACACUUUUUUUGGGUCAGAAGAGCUUAUGUGUGCUGGCAUUCUGCACUAAAUGAUGUUCCUCUUUGGGAUGCACCUUUUAUAAUUCUUCACUGUUUUCUUUAUGCUUUAUUCCCUUCCUGUUAUUAAUGGACAACUAAGGUAUGAAGACUAAGUAAUGUGCCAGUGUCCAGGGCCUGAUUUUGUAUUCAAACCUGCUUUACCUGUCUUAAUCAGCAGCUUGGAUUUUAAAUAGCUGGCUUUCUCAGUCCCUUCUAGUCAUGUACACAUGGCAUUUUUUUUUAGUUGAGGCUUAUUGUCAAG